rnacentral:rRNA from 1 species
CAGCCGCCGCGGGAAUACGGAGGGUGCAAGCGUUGUCCGGAUUUAUUGGGUUUAAAGGGUGCGCAGGCGGGGGGGUCAGUCCGCGGUGAAAGACGAUCGCUCAACGAUUGCAGUGCCGUGGAUACUGCCCUUCUUGAAUCUGGUUGAGGCCGGUGGAAUUGACCGUGUAGCGGUGAAAUGCAUAGAUAUGGUCAAGAACUCCAAUUGCGAAGGCAGCCGGCUGGGCCAGCAUUGACGCUCAGGCACGAGAGUGCGGGGAUCAAACAGGAUUAGAGACCCCGGUAGUCCCUGUCUCUUAUAC